rnacentral:tRNA from 1 species
UAGACAGAAGUCCGUUGGUUUGGGCAUCUAGCUGUUAACUAGGGGGUUGUGGGAUCGAAGCCCACCUGUCUAG